GACGAACGCUGGCGGCGGGCUUAACACAUGCAAGUCGAACGGAAAGGCCCUGCUUUUGUGGGGUGCUCGAGUGGCGAACGGGUGAGUAACACGUGAGUAACCUGCCCUUCACUUUGGGAUAACUUCAGGAAACUGGGGCUAAUACCGGAUAGGAGCUCCUGCUGCAUGGUGGGGGUUGGAAAUUUUCGGCGGUCGGGGCUGGACGCGCGGCUUACCAGCUUGUUGGUGGGGUAGGGGCUUACCCAGGCUUUGACGGGUAGCCGGCAGGAGAGGGUGACCGGCGACAUUGGGACUGCGAUACGGACCAGACUCCUACGGGAGGCAGCAGUGGGGAAUCUUGCACAAUGGGCGGAAGCCUGAUGCAGCAACGCCGCGUGCGGGAUGCCGGCCUUCGGGUUGUAAACAGCUUUCGCCUGUGACGAAGCGUGAGUGACGGUAAUGGGUAAAGAAGCACCGGCUAACUACGUG
rnacentral:rRNA from 1 species